rnacentral:rRNA from 1 species
GACGAACGCUGGCGGCGUGCUUAACACAUGCAAGUCGAACGGAAAGGCCCAGCUUGCUGGGUCCUCUAGUGGCGAACGGGUGAGUAACACGUGGUUGAUCUGCCCCUGACUUUGGGAUAAGCCUGGGAAACUGGGUCUAAUACCGGAUAUGACCUUACUUCGCAUGGUGUUUGGUGGAAAGCUUUUGCGGUUGGUGAUGGGUCCGCAGCCUAUCAGCUUGUUAGUGGGGUAUUGGCCUACCACGGCGUCGACGGGUAGCCGACCUGGGAGGGGCGUCGGCGACACGAGGACUGAGAGAGGGACCAGACGGCUACGGGAGGCAGCGGUGGGGAGUAUUACACAAUGGGCGCGAGCCUGAUGCAACGACGCCGCGUGAGGGAUGACGGCCUUCGGGUGAUAAACCUAUUUCACCAGAAACGAGGCGUGAGUGACGGUACCUGGAGAAGAAGCACCGGCCAACUACGUG